rnacentral:rRNA from 1 species
UAACACGUAGGAUUCGAACGUUAUCCGGAUUUACUGGGCGUAAAGCGUGUGCAGGCGGUUUGGUAAGUUGGAUGUGAAAGCUCCGGGCUCAACCCGGAGAGGUCGUUCAAUACUGCCAAACUAGAGGACGAUAGAGGGAGGUGGAAUUCCAGGUGUAGUGGUGAAAUGCGCAGAUAUCUGGAGGAACACCAGUGGCGUAGGCGGCCUCCUGGCUCGUUCCUGACGCUAAGACACGAAAGCUAGGGUAGCAAACGGGAUUAGAGACCCCGGUAGUCCUAGCUGUAAACGAUGUAGACUUGGUGUUGGUGGCCUUAAAAUCAUCAGUGCCGUAGCUAACGCGAUAAGUCUACCGCCUGGGGAUUACGACCGCAAGGUUA